UACUACCAACUCGGAAAUGUAAUGCCUGUUUUUUUUUUUUUUUACUUCUUCUUCUUUAACAAAAGUACGUACUGUAUGCCGACCUUGAAAACGUAUCGCAAUUUUUAUUUAUAAUCGUUAUCUACAUAUGUAAGGUAAUGGAUUAGAUGGAUAGGUAUUGAAUACCUAUCUAGCUACGGUUCGAGUAAUCUGCGACACUUGUUCCUCGAUUUGAUUUGUUUACCGUGUUUAUUUUUUAUUUUUCCUUUCCUAUUCUGUAUAAUAUUUCUCUUUUCCUUUUUUUUUUUUUUUUUUGUAACUUUUCGAUUGUUAUACUAAGCGAACUCGUAAAGAAGAGUACAUAGGUAGUAAUGACUCAUUAAUACUUAAUGAAAAUGGCGAAACGUUCUGAACGACGUGUUGUGUAUUUGCAGGUAUGGUUGGAUGUACCUAUGUAUGUAGAUGUACUACCUGUACCUGUGCAUGAACUACUUACUACGUAUAAUGUACUACGUGUGAAUAUGUAAAUUUAACCGAUAUUCGUAGUCAUUAUUUUCGAUCGGUUUUACAAUCUAUUGUCACGAUUGGUAUUAAAUAAAGGAUCUUGGAAAUGAUGCCCGAAAUUCCGUAUAUAGAUAGGGUGAAGAUGAUGGUGAUCAUUGAUUAUCAACGUAAACAAUUAAGAAGACUGUUACAAAACAAUAUAAAUAAAUAAAACAAUUUUUAAAACAGAAUAA